GAGUGCUUUGUUAAACGUAGAAAUUACAAUGGAAUAGGAGAAUGAUAAAAAAGAAGAAAGAAGUGAAAAAAAUAUUAUCGAACAGUGGCGCGCUCCGUCGUAAUUAGAUUGCUACUCUCUUAUAACAUCCGCGUUUAAUUAUUUCAUCGUGAUCGAGAGUCCACGAGCGUCUCGUUAAAUAUAUAUAUUUUCUAAAUGCGUAAAUUUACAUAGAGAAAUACAAUAAAAUUCGUAUGUUACAUGUGUCACGUAGUAUCAUAUAAUACAUGGACGAUUUCACGAGUAACAUUAAGAAAAUUUUCUCGAAGAGAAAAACAAUAAUAGAAUAUUAUUCUUCCUCGUUGAAAUAAGAAAUAAGAAAAAUAAAGAAAAUAAGGAAAGAGAUGAGCACACGCGGAAGAUGAGCGCGAAGAAACAAGGAAGACGAGAGGGAAUCAUCCAUCCUCCUGUUUGGUAUCGGAGACGAUAUCACAGGAAUGCCUGGAAUUCUUGGAUUGCAGUACUGAAUUCAGUUGCUAUGUCGAGAUUAUACGGAUAACAGGAAGUUAAAGGAGGAAGAGUUGGCUCGAAUUUGCCGCGCGGGACCGCCCGCUCGAAGAAACUUUCGUCCGGCUAACAGAUACGCGAAGAAGGAAUACGUCCGUCGGUUACCUCUCGACGCUAUCGACGCUUCGUCGAGUCUCAUACUAUCCUGUUACCUUGUGAUUAACUAAGGCCUGCUACGAGGCUCGAUGAUUGUCGGAAAUGCUUUUCGUCGAUACCACACGCACUCGGUGUUCCAACCUAUCUCAUCUCGAAAAACGUAUAUCAUCGACAAUGAAUCGAGAAACAUUCUGUUUCCCUGUUCAUCCGAUCAGACUCUACCUUGGAUCUCACGCGAGGAUUGACGUGUAACAAAUAAACUUUCUUACAUUUAUGUUAACCUAAUACACAAAUUCACAGAAUGUUAGACGCAGAGUCUCCUCUUUCGCGGAUGAGACAAUGAAGGUGAAAAGAGAUAAAGAGCGGAGGAAGAUCUGGUGCUCGUUAGUAAAGCGAGAGAAGGGUCCAUUGCCUUCCUUCGAGAGAAACAAGGAGAGAAAGGAGAAAAGGAAAACGAGAAGCAGCGAAAGGGAGAAUAGGUACGUAAGGGCAGGUAUGCGGGUGAGAAAUACCCGGGGCGCGUCCAGAUCCGCCCACGUUUAAGUCGCACACCCGCGUUGCUGGCCAGCACUCUUCCAUCAGGACUUGCCCCUUGGGCUUUUUCGAAAAGAGAGAGAGAGAGAGAGAGAGAGAGAGAGAGAAGGGGAGGGAGAGAAUGAGUCGUGGUAAAGUCUCAGGACCCUAACAGCUCUUCCUUCCAGGUCUCCUCCACCUGCAGAGAGAAGCACAGCUCGUGCACGCGAUCCACGACUCGAACGCCCCCGCGGGCACACGCCGUCAUCGCGCCAGCUUUCAGGAAGGAGCAAGAUCCAAGAAGAAGAACAAGAAGAAAAAGAGGAGGAGGAGGAGGAGGAGGAAGAGAAUAUGUUCAAAGAAUAUUCGUUCUUCCUACAAUUUUUA